rnacentral:rRNA from 1 species
ACCCCAGGUCAGGUGGGGAUACCCGCUGAGUUUAAGCAUAUAAAUAAGCGGAGGAGAAGAAACUUACAAGGAUUCCCUUAGUAACGGGCGCUUAACCGGAUCAGCCCAGCUUGAGAAUCGGGCGGCCGCGCCGCCUGAAUUGUAGUCCGAGAAGCGCCCUCAGCGACGGACCGGGCCCAAGUCCCCGGAAAGGGGCGCCGGGAGGGUGAGAGCCCCGUCCCGCUCGGACCCCUGUCGCACCACGAGGCGCUGUCGACGAAGUCGGGUUGUUUGGGAAUGCAGCCCCAAUCGGGCGGUAAAUUCCGGCCCAAGGCUAAAUAUGGGCGAGAGACCGAUAAUGUAACAAGUACCGCGAGGGAAAGAUGAAAAGGACUUUGAAAAGAGAGUCAAAGAGUGCUUGAAAUUGCCGGAGGGAAGCGGAUGGGGCCGGCGAUGCACCUUGGUCGGAUGCGAACGGCGGUUAGCCGGUCCGCCGCCGCCGGCUCGGGUGCGGAUCGAUGCGGGUUGCAUCGACGGCCGGGCCCGGACGGAUCGCUCGCUCGAGGGGAUACCGCCGAUGCGCGGUCGAGGACAUGACGCGCCAUCGGCGCGUUCCGCGGGGUACAUGUGCGACCCAGGGCAUCGCCAGUGGGCUCCAUCCCAACCCGCCUUGAAACACGGACCAAGGAGUCCGACAUGCGGCGAAGUCGACGGGCGCGGAAACCCGAAGGCACAAGGAAGUUAACGGGCGGAACCUCUCGAGGGGUUGCACCACCGCCAACCCCCGAUCUUUUCGUGGAAGGGUUCGAGUUGGAGCAUGCAUGUCGGGACCCAAAAAGAUGGUGAACUAUGCCCGAAGCGAGGCGGCCGAGGAAACUCGGUGGAGGCCCGGCGACACCGACGCGGCAAAUCGCUCGUCCGACUUGGGUAUAGGGGCGAAGACUAAUCGAACCAUCUAGUAGCUGGUUCCUCCAAGUUUCCCUCAGAUAGCUGGAGCCCACGCGGCGAAGUUCUAUCGGGUAAAGCCAAUGAUUAGAGGCAUCGGGGCGAACGCCUCGACCUAUUCUCAAACUUUAAAUAGGUAGGACGGCGCUGCGCUUUCGCGUUGAGCCGCGCCGCUGAAUCGAGCUCCAAGUGGGCCAUUUUGGUAAGCAGAACCGGGCGAUGCGGGAUGAACCGAAGCCGGGUUACGGUGCCCAAUCUGGCUAACCCGCACACCACAAAGGGUGUUGGUCGAUUAAGACAGCAGGACGGUGGUCAUGGAAGUCGAAAUCCGCUAAGGAGUGUGUAACAACUCACCGCCAAUCAACUAGCCCCGAAAAUGGAUGGCGCUGAAAGCCGCCGACCACACCCCCGCCAUCGGGGCGAGCCAAGCCCCGAUGAGUAGGAGGGGGCGGGCGGUCGCCAAGAAAACCAGGGCGAGCCCGGCGGAGCGGCCGCCGGUGCAGAUCUUGGUGGUAGUAGCAAAAUAUUCAAAUGAGAACUUUGAAGGGGCGGGGAAGGCCGAAGAGGGGUUAAAAAGGUUCCAGUUUGAUGAACAAGAGGGCACUGCUUUGCACAUGGGUUAGCCGAAUCUAUAAUCCAAAUCACACCGGUCAAAAAAUAAAUAAAUAAAUAUAUAUAUAUAUAUAUAUAUAUGAUAAGAUCAUAAAUUCAUCAGGUGUCGACGAUGGGUCUCGUCUCUCCAUCCCUCUCGUUAUUUCACUCCAUCCGUUCGUUUAGUCGACGAUUUAAUUGGGCGGCUGAGAUGUGGAUGAUGAUAGGGAGAAAUCGGAUCUUCCGAAUUAAAUAGGUCCCGAUUGAUCCCUUGAUGACGAGAUUGGAUCCACCGCAGCCGGCGCUCUCCUCUUUUGGCUCAUCUCUUUCACCCUUUUUUCGCCCGCGGAGGAGCGUUUUGCCAGCGAUCGCGUGCGGAUGGUGCGGGCGGAGGAGGCGGCGCGGUUGGAUCGGCUCGAGAGCCAGGUCGAGAACGGCGGCGGAGGAGCGGAGGAGUACCUCUGCCUCGUCCGCAAGCUAAAGGCCCGGCGAUCCGACAAGGUCCUCAAACACGGCCUCUCGAUCUUGAACGACCCCAAGGCCCGAUCCAAGCUCGGAGGAGAAGGUUGGUUGAAUUUCUUGAUUUGGUUAUUUUUUCGUGUCCGGACACGAGGGAGGCCUUCUUUCCCUUAAACGAGAUCGAUCUCAUGAGAAUUCGUUCAGUUCUAUUGAGAUCUUCUCGUACUUGCUAAUGGAGUGACCAUGUGGGUGUCACGGCUUGAUCAUGAGGUUCCAAUAUCAUUUCGUUUAGACCAACUGCAGAGUUAUUGGUGCACCUCAGUAUAUCAAUCGAAGUAUACUGUUGCUUGUCUGUUAAACAGGUCUUUAUGAGUAAAGAUCAGAGUUCCACUAGGUCAAAUAUGUACGGAAAAGUGGCAAUUUGGCUCUUCAACUCACGAUAGUAGAUCCAGUCAACCAACUGAAAAAAAAAAGAGACUACGGGACAAUUGAAUGCUAAAGAUGCAACCUAUGGAAAACUGAGGAUUUUAUCACAAUCAGAUAUGCAGUCUUUAAGGGGAGAUUAAUUUAAUAGCACAAUUCUUCUAAUCAGCGCUUGGUUAUUUUGACAUCAGAGAACAAUUCCUAUUACUGUCAUGAAACAAGUCUUAUAAGCAAGUUAAUUAUUAAUGUUGUAAUCUUUUUGCCAAGGAAAAUGGCCGUUAACCAGAUACCUUAUUAAGUAUCGAGAGUAAUGAAUCAAUUUAUGGAACUAAUCAAGUUGUGCUGAUUAGCCGGUAAAACCAAAGAUCUGAACUAUGGAGCCUGCCAAGUUUAGGUCAUAAAGGAAAAGAUAAGCUUAAACAUUUUGAACCAUGUAUUAAGCAUCAUCAUCCCAUCCCAUCCCAUCCCAUCCCAGAUAUUGAGCUAAGAGA